rnacentral:rRNA from 1 species
CGCUGGCGGCGUGCCUAAUACAUGCAAGUCGAGCGGACAGAUGGGAGCUUGCUCCCUGAUGUUAGCGGCGGACGGGUGAGUAACACGUGGGUAACCUGCCUGUAAGACUGGGAUAACUCCGGGAAACCGGGGCUAAUACCGGAUGCUUGUUUGAACCGCAUGGUUCAAACAUAAAAGGUGGCUUCGGCUACCACUUACAGAUGGACCCGCGGCGCAUUAGCUAGUUGGUGAGGUAAUGGCUCACCAAGGCGACGAUGCGUAGCCGACCUGAGAGGGUGAUCGGCCACACUGGGACUGAGACACGGCCCAGACUCCUACGGGAGGCAGCAGUAGGGAAUCUUCCGCAAUGGACGAAAGUCUGACGGAGCAACGCCGCGUGAGUGAUGAAGGUUUUCGGAUCGUAAAGCUCUGUUGUUAGGGAAGAACAAGUACCGUUCGAAUAGGGCGGUACCUUGACGGUACCUAACCAGAAAGCCACGGCUAACUACGUGCCAGCAGCCGCGGUAAUACGUAGGUGGCAAGCGUUGUCCGGAAUUAUUGGGCGUAAAGGGCUCGCAGGCGGUUUCUUAAGUCUGAUGUGAAAGCCCCCGGCUCAACCGGGGAGGGUCAUUGGAAACUGGGGAACUUGAGUGCAGAAGAGGAGAGUGGAAUUCCACGUGUAGCGGUGAAAUGCGUAGAGAUGUGGAGGAACACCAGUGGCGAAGGCGACUCUCUGGUCUGUAACUGACGCUGAGGAGCGAAAGCGUGGGGAGCGAACAGGAUUAGAUACCCUGGUAGUCCACGCCGUAAACGAUGAGUGCUAAGUGUUAGGGGGUUUCCGCCCCUUAGUGCUGCAGCUAACGCAUUAAGCAUUCCGCCUGGAGACGCCAUUGAGAA